UAGACAUUGUUAUUUUCACGUGAUUUUGCUCGUGUUUCAGUUUUUUAAGUCUGGAUUUUUUUUAAACUUAAAUGUGCUUGAAAUCUGAUUAUUUGAUAAUAAAGUAGGUGAAGUUUAUGUGCAGUGAUGAUAUCUGUGUAUCCCAGCUCAUUAUGAGACCUUUCGUAGGUCCGGGAAUGAACCAGUUUCCACAUUUAUCUGAGCCUAGGCUCAGAGUUUUUAAACUUUCUGAUUCAAUUUGAACAACGAAGCAGAAUAAUUGGCCACUAAUAAACCUGGAUUUCGAAUUUUUAGAUACGAAAUAUUAUAUCUUCAUCGAUUGGCCUAUAUUUUUAACUUUCUUAAAACUAUAUUUUGAUUGAAAUGCUGAUUGUAUUAUCAGCCGCAAUGAUGCAAUGUGAUAAUCCCAGCUCUAUGAGACUUUCUAAAGGUCAAGGACUAGACAAGAUCCACAUAUUUACCUGAGCUCAAAAUAUUAUUUUUAAAUCUAUGGGCCAAUAUUUUUAACUUUUCUUUAAUUAUAUUUUGAUUGAAAAUGCUUAUUGUAUUAUCAACCGCAAUGAUGCAAUGUGAUAAUCCCAGCUCUAUGAGACUUUCUAAAGGUCAAGGACUAGACAAGAUCCACAUAUACACCUGAGCUCAAAAUAUAAUUUUUAAAUCGAUGGGCUAAUAUUUUUAACUUUUCUUUUAUUUUAUUUUUAUUGAAAUGCUGAUUUUAUUAUCAGCCGCAAUGAUGCAAUAUGAUAAUCCCAGCUCUAUGAGACUUUCUACAGGUCAAGGACUAGACAAGAUCCACAUAUUUACCUGAGCUCAAAAUAUUACUUUUAAAUCGAUGGCCCAAUAUUUUUAACUUUUCUUUAAUUAUAUUUUGAUUGAAAUGUUUACUGUGUGUUAUCAGCCGCAAUGAUGCAAUGUGUUAAUCCCAGCUCUAUGAGACUUUCUAAAGGUCAAGGACUAGACAAGAUCCACAUAUUUACCUGAGCUCAAAAUAUUUUACUCUUUCAGUUUUUUCAUUUCGCAUCAAACUCAGCAGUAAAAUUAAGAUGACAAUUAUGAGCUACCUUCAUCAUGUAUUGAUAACGAAGCCCGUUCGCAUAUCCUUCUGCCAUUUCAGUCACUGUCUUCCUUGUCGAAGGAUUGAGAGAUAGGUUGUUCCCUAUGAUGUUUUACUUUUUAAACCAUGCUAAUACUGAUCACAUGAUGAUUGAUCUUCAACUCUUGUCUCUGAGGGAACUAGCCUACACUCUUGAAUUAAUUUUUUCUGAAGGACCUUUAUUUGUUUGAAUAUCUAAUAUUGUAUCCAUAUGAAUUUAUAAUCUUA